UACGUAGGGUGCGAGCGUUGUCCGGAAUUAUUGGGCGUAAAGAGCUUGUAGGCGGUUUGUCGCGUCUGCUGUGAAAAUCCGGGGCUCAACCCCGGACUUGCAGUGGGUACGGGCAGACUAGAGUGUGGUAGGGGAGAUCGGAAUUCCUGGUGUAGCGGUGGAAUGCGCAGAUAUCAGGAGGAACACCGGUGGCGAAGGCGGAUCUCUGGGCCAUAACUGACGCUGAGGAGCGAAAGCAUGGGGAGCGAACAGG
rnacentral:rRNA from 1 species